rnacentral:misc_RNA from 1 species
AACGCACGAGACCUGCGGACCUGCGGAAGGAUCAUUACAGAGUCUCCAGACUCCCAAACCACUGUGAACCUUACCUUAAACCGCGCUCCGGCGGGUCGCCCCCGGGGGGGUCGCCGGCCGAAAGGCACCCGCCGGAGCCAACCUCAAAGUCUCUGUACGAAAACAGUCUUCUGAGUGUCAAAAAAAUUAAAAUUCACAACUUUCAACAAUGGAUCUCU